rnacentral:rRNA from 1 species
UUGAACGCUGGCGGCAGGCCUAACACAUGCAAGUCGAACGGUAACAGGAAGCAGCUUGCUGCUUCGCUGACGAGUGGCGGACGGGUGAGUAAUGUCUGGGAAGCUGCCUGAUGGAGGGGGAUAACUACUGGAAACGGUAGCUAAUACCGCAUAAUGUCGCAAGACCAAAGAGGGGGACCUUCGGGCCUCUUGCCAUCGGAUGUGCCCAGAUGGGAUUAGCUUGUUGGUGGGGUAACGGCUCACCAAGGCGACGAUCCCUAGCUGGUCUGAGAGGAUGACCAGCCACACUGGAACUGAGACACGGUCCAGACUCCUACGGGAGGCAGCAGUGGGGAAUAUUGCACAAAGGGCGCAAGCCUGAUGCAGCCAUGCCGCGUGUAUGAAGAAGGCCUUCGGGUUGUAAAGUACUUUCAGCGGGGAGGAAGGGAGUAAAGUUAAUACCUUUGCUCAUUGACGUUACCCGCAGAAGAAGCACCGGCUAACUCCGUG